rnacentral:rRNA from 1 species
GAGUUGCUAGUAAUCGCGAAUCAGCAUGUCGCGGUGAAUACGUUCCCGGGCCUUGUACACACCGCCCGUCACACCAUGAGAGUUGGCAAUACCCAACGUACGUGAUCUAACCCGCAAGGGAGGAAGCGUCCUAAGGUAGGGUCAGCGAUUGGGGUGAAGUCGUAACAAGGUAUC